rnacentral:lncRNA from 1 species
UAUUUGUUAUCAAUGUUCAAUGUACUAAGUGUCUUAAUGCGCUUGAAACCACAACGUACAGGAAAUUUGUCUUCUUAUUGAUCAGAUCAUCAUGGCGUGCAGGCUGACUUCUUUGUUUCUUACGAUCUUAUCUGCUCGACUGAUGAUUGCCCUAAAAGAUAAAGAACAUCUCAACUACUGUCAAGGCAUAUCUGAGGACAAAGACACCUGCGUUUAUCCCAAGAUGUGCAAGUGCCCCUUGAUGAAUACCGGAGGAUACAUGAGGUUGACUCUGUGGCACUACGAUAACCGCACCGGCCGGUGCAGGAAAAUCGUGGGAAGCAACGCAAAUGGGUAUUGCAACAUGUUUGAAAAGAAUGAGGAUUGCCGAAGAUUGUGCAAAAAGCCCUUGAAACGACGGCGUCCCAAACCAAAAACGUAAAACAGUAACGCUGGCAGGUAACUGGUGGUUAAACUU